GUUCAGGCAGUAAUCAGGCCUGGGUGCGGCUUCAGAAAGCCACUUGGCGGUUAGCUACAUUCAUAGUUAGCUACAUUCACACAGAAGCAUGUUAGUUUGAAGACACGAUGGAGGACGGAGCCUGAACCUCUCAAAAUCUGUAACAAGAACACCACACACAUUUUGAUGGCUGAUUUUCUGAGCUUUCUACAAUGGUCACAGGACUCUGGGUUAGAAAGCAGCCCGUCGGAUCUGUCAACUUGGGGAAAAUUUCCAUUUUGCAGCUAACUCUGCAGCCUUUUGAUGGGCAAAUAUUUGUUUCCUCAGAAGUGAGCGUGGGCAAACCUUCCUCACAGCUCCAUAUGCUGCCAGCUGCCAAUCAAGUGGCCCAGAACCCUGAAACUAAUCGCACAGCCCCCCUCCCUCUCUGCUCUGCCUCUCCUCUUCCUGUCGUUCAGCAGGAAUCAGGGAGUGUGUGUGUGUGUGUGUGUGUGUGUGUUUAUAUAUGAAUCAGUAAAGCUGAAAUAACGACGGAUGAGUCAAAGUUAAAGGAAUAUGUUCUGUCAGUUCACUCCAAACCGUCUGUGUCGAUUUUUCCGAAUAAUUGUAUUAUUUUUUAUUAAUACUAGUAUCAAAGGAACUGAAUUGAUUUGAAUGUGUUUGGGAGCUUCAUCAGUGUUUUUGUCUGCAGUAUGCUUCUAAUUGUCUUUUGCACAGUCCAUCAAUGUUGCAUACCAACAUUUAUAAGACAAAUAAAGACAUAUUGCUAAAGUAUUCACUCCCCAGUUAACUCUUUCCACAUUUUCUUUGGCUUUAGGACCAAAAACAUGUGUGUUUUAUGUGUUUUUCACAAGUUAAA